AGUAAGUACACAAACAACCAGUUGAAAGUCAAGGAAAAACAUUAGCUAUAUUUUUUAGAAAUAAAGUAUUGACCCUGGUAUUUAAUGAAUCGCAAGUACUUCUGUAUAUUCCUAGCAGAAAAUGCCUAAUGGAUAGUUUUCCAUGUGAAACAUUGUUCUCUUCACACCUCCAGUUUUAAGUAAAGUUCAGUUCAAGUCUUAUUUCCCUUCCCUCUCCUCUAGUUUAAGAAGAAACUUCUGACUUCUUUGACUUGGCUGUUUUAAAUAAUCCAUAGUGCUAUCA
rnacentral:lncRNA from 1 species